AUGGAAACGAAAGCGGCCAAGUAGCGCUGCGUCCUGACGCGCCGGCUCUAGUGGGCUCUGGUCAGACACGCGCAGCGGACAACGAUGCUGAAGGCCAAGAUCCUCUUCGUGGGGCCUUCCAAGACCUUGAUUCCAACCACUGCCCGGAGGAGGUAGCGGAGGGGAGCCAGGUGUUAAUGAGCCCCGAAGGCCCAAGGUACUGAGUGGCAUCGUUGGAACCACAGCCUAGGUCUCGUGAGUCUUUCCUUUGCCCCCCGGGAUCCCCCUAAUGAAUGCGUCUGUGGGUCUGGACUUUUGUUUGUUUGAGGCAGGGUCUCGCCCUGUCGUCCAGGCUGGAGUGCAGUGAUCAUAGCUCACUGCAGGCUCGACUUCCCUGGGCUCAAGCAGUUCUCCUGCCUCAGCCUCCUGAGUACCUGGUACUACAGGCGUGCACCACCAUGCCCGACUAAAUUUGUUGUUGGUUUUUUUUUUUUUUGAGACAGUCUCGCUCUGUCACCCAGGCUAGAGUGCAGUGGCAUGAUCUUGGCCCACUGCAGCCUCCACCUCCCGGGUUCAAGCGAUUCUCCUGCCUCAGCCUCCUGAGUAGCUGGGAUUACAGGCCCACACCACCAGCCCUGGCUACUUUUUGUAUUUUUUGUAGAGAUGGGUUUUCACCAUAUUGGCUAGGCUGGUCUCUAACUCCUGACCUCAAGUGAUCCGCCCGCCUCAGCCUCCCAAAUUGCUGGGAUUACACAGAUAAGCCACCACGCCUGGCCUAAAUUUGUCAAUUAGAGACAGGAUCUCGGUAUAUUGCCUAGUACCAAGGCUGGUCUCCAACUCCUUGGAUCAGACAGUCCUCCCGCCUCAGCCUCCCAGAGUUCUGGGAUUACAGGCGUAAGCCAUUGCUCAAGGCCUGGGCUUUUUACUAUAUGGUCCUGGAACCAUUGGCUAUUAAUGUGUAUGUUAGGGGAAUGGUAGUGGCGAUCACAUCUACAUGUAUACUUCACAUCAUCCACAGAAGUAAAGCUCAGAUGGCCUAAAGCUAAAUGCGUUAAAAAAAAAAAAAAAAAAAAAAAAAAGCCCAGGUGCAGCGGCUCAUGCCUGCAAUCCCAGCACUUUGGAGACCGAGGCUGCUGGAUCGCCUGAGGUCAGGAGUUCGAGACCAGCUGGACUAACAUGGUGAAACCCCAUCGCUACUAAAAAUACAAAAAUAAGCUGGGCAUGGUGGCGCAUGCCUGUAAUUUCAGCUACUCGGAAGGCUGAGGCAGGAGAAUCACUUGAAUCCGGGAGGCAGAGGUUGCAGUGAGCCAAGAUUGCACCAUUGCACUCCAGCCUGGGCAACAAGAGUGAAACUCUGUCUUAAAAAAAAAAAAAAAAAAAGCUGGGCAUGGUGGUUCACACCUGUAAUCCCAGAACUUUGGGAGGCCGAGGCGGGUGGAUCACAAGGUCAGGAGAUCGAGACCAUCCUGGCUAACAUGGUGAAACCCUGUCUCUACUAAAAAUAAAAAUAAAUUAGCCGGGCAUGGUGGUGGGCACCUGUAGUCCCAGCUACUCAGGAGGCUGACGCAGGAGAAUGGCGUGAACCUUGGAGGCAGAGCUUGCAGUGAGCUGAGAUUGCACCACUGCACUCCAGCCUGGGCGACAGAGUGAGACUCCGUCUCAAAAACAAACAAAAAACCCUGCACAAACCUGUAGAAGUCUUAGGCCAGGCACAGUGGCUAACACCUGCCAGCAUUUUGGGAGGCCGAGGUGGGGAGAUCACUUGAGCUCAGGCAUUCAAGACCAGCCUGGGCAACAUAGGAAAACCCCAUUUGUACAAUACAAAAAUUAGCGGGGUGUGGUGGCACACACCUGUAGUCCCAGCUACUCAGGAGGCUGAGGUGGGAGGAUCAUUUGAGCCCUACAGAUCGAGGCUGCAGUGAGCUAUGAUAGCAUUGCUGCACUCCAGCCUGGGCAACAAAUAAGACCCUAUCUCAAAAAAAAAAAAAAAAAAGCAGUGUGUGUUAC